GACGAACGCUGGCGGCGUGCUUAACACAUGCAAGUCGAGCGGUAAGGCCCUUUCGGGGUACACGAGCGGCGAACGGGUGAGUAACACGUGGGUGACCUGCCCUCAGCUCUGGGAUAAGCCUGGGAAACCGGGUCUAAUACUGGAUAUGACUCCAUGACGCAUGUUGUGGGGUGGAAAGCCUUGUGCGGCUGAGGAUGGGCCCGCGGCCUAUCAGCUUGUUGGUGGGGUGAGGCCUACCAAGGCGACGACGGGUANCCGGCCUGAGAGGGCGACCGGCCACACUGGGACUGAGACACGGCCAGACUCCUACGGGAGGCAGCAGUGGGGAAUCUUGCGCAAUGGGCGAAAGCCUGACGCAGCGAC
rnacentral:rRNA from 1 species